rnacentral:rRNA from 1 species
CACGUAGGGCGCAAGCGUUGUCCGGAAUUAUUGGGCGUAAGAGCUCGUAGGCGGUCUGUUGCGUCCGCUGUGAAAACCCAGGGCUUAACCCUGGGCUGGCAGUGGAUACGGACAGACUAGAGGUAGGUAGGGGAGAAUGGAAUUCCCGGUGUAGCGGUGAAAUGCGCAGAUAUCGGGAGGAACACCGGUGGCGAAGGCGGUUCUCUGGGCCUUACCUGACGCUGAGGAGCGAAAGCGUGGGGAGCGAACAGG